rnacentral:lncRNA from 1 species
CAGAAUGACUGUAGAAUUAUGAUCAACACCAAACCUUACCAAUUUUACUACAUUCUUCCAACUUCCAAUCCUCCAAACUUAUUACACAUAAUCUUACAUACUUUCCUAACAUCCUCUAAACAUUCCUUACAUUAAUUAAAGAGUUUCAUCUCAGAUUUGAAAGACAAUUCUGCAGAAUCAUGAACUCAAUGACCGAUAGUAAGAUUUUCUUAGUUUGAUACAUUUUGGAGUGACUUAAAGGCUCUAAUCACUUACACACCGCUUGUUAGUAUUCCCCCUACAUAUCAAAACCACCUCGAACACCACAUUCCCCCAUUGUUACCAUUUCACUUCCUCACAUUUCUCUCGGCCAUGAACCAAAAUCAUGCAGAAAACAUUUCAACAUGAACACAGUACACACCAUCAAUACCAAGCACCUAAAUAAUUCAAUUUCACAUACAUGCAACAUCAUCAAACAACAUAUUCAUGCAUCAAAACCAAUUAAUUAAAUUAUCUAGCUUCCUUUACCUCUUAAUUUGAACCGAGCAGCUCUACUACUUCAGGACUUUUACUCUCAACACCAUAAACUUUUAAUGACCC